GUGGGGAAUAUUGGUCAAUGGACGCGAGUCUGAACCAGCCAAGUCGCGUGCGGGAAGAAGGCCCUCCGGGUCGUAAACCGCUUUAGCCGGGGAGUAACGUGGGGGACGCGUCCCUCAGUGAGAGUACCCGGAGAAUAAGCAUCGGCUAACUCCGUGCCAGCAGCCGCGGUAAUACGGAGGAUGCGAGCGUUAUCCGGAUUUAUUGGGUUUAAAGGGUGCGCAGGCGGCAUGUCAAGUCAGCGGUCAAAAUGCGGCGCUCAACGCCGUACCGCCGUUGAAACUGGCGCGCUGGAGUUUGUGCGAGGAUGGCGGAAUGCGCGGUGUAGCGGUGAAAUGCAUAGAUAUCGCGCAGAACCCCGAUUGCGAAGGCAGCUGUCCAGCACACUACUGACGCUCAUGCACGAAAGCGUGGGUAUCGAACAGG
rnacentral:rRNA from 1 species